CGAACGCUGGCGGCGCGCCUAACACAUGCAAGUCGAACGAGCGAGAGAGAGCUUGCUUUCUCGAGCGAGUGGCGAACGGGUGAGUAACGCGUGAGGAACCUGCCUCAAAGAGGGGGACAACAGUUGGAAACGACUGCUAAUACCGCAUAAGCCCACGGCUCGGCAUCGAGCAGAGGGAAAAGGAGCAAUCCGCUUUGAGAUGGCCUCGCGUCCGAUUAGCUAGUUGGUGAGGUAACGGCCCACCAAGGCAACGAUCGGUAGCCGGACUGAGAGGUUGAACGGCCACAUUGGGACUGAGACACGGCCCAGACUCCUACGGGAGGCAGCAGUGGGGAAUAUUGCACAAUGGGGGAAACCCUGAUGCAGCGACGCCGCGUGGAGGAAGAAGGUCUUCGGAUUGUAAACUCCUGUUGUUGGGGAAGAUAAUGACGGUACCCAACAAGGAAGUGACGGCUAACUACGUGCCAGCAGCCGCGGUAAAACGUAGGUCACAAGCGUUGUCCGGAAUUACUGGGUGUAAAGGGAGCGCAGGCGGGAAGACAAGUUGGAAGUGAAAUCUAUGGGCUCAACCCUUAAACUGCUUUCAAAACUGUUUUUCUUGAGUAGUGCAGAGGUAGGCGGAAUUCCCGGUGUAGCGGUGGAAUGCGUAGAUAUCGGGAGGAACACCAGUGGCGAAGGCGGCCUACUGGGCACCAACUGACGCUGAGGC
rnacentral:rRNA from 1 species